UACAGAGGUCCCGAGCGUUGUUCGGAUUCACUGGGCGUAAAGGGUGCGUAGGUGGUGAGGUAAGUCGGAUGUGAAAUCUCCGGGCUCAACCCGGAAAUGGCAUUGGAAACUACCUUGCUGGAGGAUUUGAGGGGGGAUUGGAAUACUUGGUGUAGCAGUGAAAUGCGUAGAUAUCAAGUGGAACACCAGUGGCGAAGGCGAAUCCCUGGAAAAUACCUGACACUGAGGCACGAAAGCUAGGGGAGCGAAUGGG
rnacentral:rRNA from 1 species